ACUCCAUUUCUAUAGCAAAAGUGACUCAGAACAGAGCCAAAUCUUCUGGUUCGUUAAUUCUGAAUUGAGAGAAAGUUACAAGGUGAAAGUCUCUUCUGGACAAUCCUUCAGCCAAUUAACUUCGACAGCUGAAAACUGCCACUUCUUCUCUUCACAUCACCGCGACUUUUUCAUGAAAGUUGUUCAAAAUUGCGUCUUCUAUACUGUACUCGAUCCAACGGUUAAUUCUUUCUCAAUCAAGUUUCUUCUCAGAUUGGGUCAUGUUUCUCCAUCGACAUUUGAGUUAAUUUCAUGAAGUUUACAUCUCCAUCUUGAGUUCUAUGCUUUGAUUUUACAAUUGUUGGUCUUGCAGGUACUGUGCACGAGGAUUAAGGAGGAUUUUGGGACUGAGCUGAGUGCUACAUUUUUCUUUAACUAUUAAUUUGGUAUAUUUACCUACACAUUUUAUUCACCUCUACUUUGUUUGAUAGAGGUGAGUGUUAUCUUGUUUUGGUCAA